UUGUUCUCGUCGUCCCUAGUCUCAGGGUUGUACCGUCAUGUGUUCUAGUCGCCAACGUUCUCGCUAUUUAGCAAUACUACGGUGUAGCACUGUAGAAAAGUCACAGGUGGCAGAAGUAGCGCAAAAACCUCGUUUAGUGACAUGUUUCCGAAAGCUUUGAGCAAACCUCGUGAGGAAAAGACGAUAACAUUAGAAAGCACACCUUGCAGUUUCGUUGAAACGCACAUCAAAUAACCUGCGCACGUUCUCCUAAUCUUGAUUAAAGCGAGCAGCCUACUGAAACGGGCCUUGAUUUAUAUAUCGCGUUUGGCUUUUCGGCGUUUUCUACCGGGCGCAUCAUCUUUCAUCGGACAGCAUCUAUGUUAUGUGACUUAUGACGAUCGCUGAAACGCGAAGUCGCGUCGUCUGCUACAAUGAGCCCUCGCUUUCCGUUGGCUUCCUGCGGCGCCACACGGCGCAAGCGCAGAGCGAACCGCAGGCAAAAUCGAAGCUUGUCCUUGCCGACUUCAAGGAAGAAACCUCGUCCUGUAAAGGCAGCAUGCCAUCUUCAGGAAAAUCACGACGACAUCGAAAAUCUCGAGCAACGGACUCUAAGCACGGAAAGACCAAGGGCGGCACCCAUAAUCACCACCAAUCACAAAAGCUCCACAUUCCCGUACAAGACACUCCACCACUCCCAGCUGACGCCAUGGAGGUUACAACACCCUUGAGUUCCAUCGUGGAACCAUUGACCCCGGUUUUCGAACCGAACGAUCCGGACAAUCCCGCCUUCAACACAUUCAACUACUGGAAGACACCAUUUCCAAGCGUUGACCUCGAUGUUCUCAUGGAGUGACAGCGGAGUCGCUCAUUCCACCUUCCGUUGUCUACGAUGACGUAGCAGUUACCCCACCUGAAGUCCGAGCUCCGCAAAUGAAAGAGUGACUUUUUUUUUUUUUUCGUGUAUUUUUGUUCCCCCUCCACAACGAUAUCUGUUCAGUUUGCUUGUACCGUAUGUAGAACAGUAACCGUUAGGGGAUUGCACUGUUCGUCCGGGGAUCGCCUCGUGGUGGUUAGCUUCACUGCACGUCACGAAUGACGCGAUCCGUAUAUAUGUUUCUUUCGCUGUGUCAACAAAAGCAUGAAGUGAUUUCCGGAUUCUUGAAUAAACAAUCUCGUUUGCCA